UGCAGUCGAACGAACCUUCGGGUUAGUGGCGGACGGGUGAGUAACGCGUGAGAAUCUGCCCUCAGGAGGGGGAUAACGGUUGGAAACGACCGCUAAUACCCCAUAUGCCGCGAGGUGAAAUGAAUUUCGCCUGAGGAUGAGCUCGCGUCUGAUUAGCUAGUUGGUGGGGUAAAGGCCUACCAAGGCAACGAUCUUUAGCUGGUCUGAGAGGAUGAUCAGCCACACUGGGACUGAGACACGGCCCAGACUCCUACGGGAGGCAGCAGUGGGGAAUAUUGGACAAUGGGCGAAAGCCUGAUCCAGCAAUGCCGCGUGAGUGAUGAAGGCCUUAGGGUUGUAAAGCUCUUUUACCAGGGAUGAUAAUGACAGUACCUGGAGAAUAAGCUCCGGCUAACUCCGUGCCAGCAGCCGCGGUAAU
rnacentral:rRNA from 1 species